GUUUUUGUGGUGUAAAUAAGGCACGAGAGAUUUUCAAUUUUUAGGAGUAAUGUAUAACAAAUAUUAUCAAAAAUG
rnacentral:tRNA from 1 species